rnacentral:ncRNA from 1 species
AAAAUGACAAUGACAGGGAAUAGUAAGUGGUUUUUGCCGGUUCAGAGAGCCGCCGGUUGGUGCGAGGCGGUCAGUGGCACAUCGCCGAACUCUCCCUUGAGUUGCCGGUCGAAAUCCUUGGGGAUAGUAGGUCCGGACGGGGUCUUCCGCCGUUAAAAGGAAGGGGGUAUCGGAUUUUAUCAAUCCCGUAUCCUUUAAGAGAGAGCGGCUUAGUGCCGUUAAUUUGAGUGGUACCACGGAGGCAAACCCUUCGUCUCAUAU